rnacentral:rRNA from 1 species
CCCCUAGAUGUUCUGGGCCGCACGCGCGCUACACUGAACAGUUCAACAAGUCUUAACCUUGGCCGAUAGGUCUGGGUAAUCUUUGAACGCUGUUCGUGAUUGGGAUAGACCUUUGCAAUUAUGGGUCUUCAACGAGGAAUUCCUAGUAAACGCAAGUCAUCAGCUUGCAUUGAUUACGUCCCUGCCCUUUGUACACACUGCCCGUCGCACCUACCGAUUGAAUGGUCCGGUGAAAUCUCGGGACGGCGGCUUGGUCGCUUGCGUCCGACUGCUGAAACUUGAUUAAACCAUAUCAUUUAGAGGAAGGUGAAGUCGUAACA